CACGUAGGGCGCAAGCGUCGUCCGGAAUUAUUGGGCGUAAAGAGCUCGUAGGCGGUCUGCUACGUCCGCUGUGAAAACCUAGGGCUUAACCCUGGGCUUGCAGUAGAUACGGGCAGACUAGAGGUAGGUAGGGGAGAAUGGAAUUCCCGGUGUAGCGGUGAAAUGCGCAGAUAUCGGGAGGAACACCGGUGGCGAAGGCGGUUCUCUGGGCCUUACCUGACGCUGAGGAGCGAAAGCGUGGGGAGCAAACAGG
rnacentral:rRNA from 1 species